GGGAGAAAGAUAAAGGACAUCAAAAGAUGAGACUGCAUAUGGACUGUCUUGGUAAAAUUCCCAUUAAAAUUCUGCAAAAUCAUCGAGCUUUUAGUUAUGUGCUAGCAUUUAGUUUCCUAGAGAGGAUGCUGAUAGUUACAUUUUUAGGAUGUUUGAUUUAUUUACUGUGUCCAGUGAGUUUUGGAUGAACUUCGGUGUCAGAUUGCUCACCGUGAGUAGGAGGUCAAGAGAAAUGAUCAUGACUUAUCUGUCAAUUUGUUGCUGUGCAUCACCUGGAAUCAAAGGGAGAUACUGAUGUGGACAGAAGUUCAGCUCUGAAAUGGUAGCUCUUGCUUUUUUUCUCCUGAUGGUCAGAGCCCUCAAGGUGUCCGAGAUUCUUCAGUGGGCAGGAGUGCUUCUUAGAUGCCCCGUGUCUAAAGUAGACUAAAUGUAUAAGCAGAGACUGUGACACAGUCAGUCACUGUAGUAUGGUAUUAUGGGUGCUUUUAGGAAAAGAAAUUAAUUUUUUAUAAAAAAAUCGUUAUUUAGAUGCUCAGCCAGUUAACCGUUAAGUGUUUUAGCUAAUGAAAUGCAGUGCUUUUCUACAAAAGUGAAGGGUUAAAGAGGAUCGCUUUAAUCUCUAGGUUCUAGAACUCUGCAAGCAGCUCACAGAUAAAUCAUUCUAUUGUUGUUUUUGUUGUUCACUUGGAAUUGAAAUGACACUGAUAGCAGAAGCCACCUUCACAUGCUGGAGCCACGCUGGCCAAGCAAACGAAGUGCAGAAUGAAGGAUGGGUGAUAAUUGGAGUUUUUGAAACAAUACAUGUUGUGUUAGCUUUAUAUCACUGAGACAAACCUGCAAAAAGACAUCUUGAGAGAAGAUUGAACUUGACGCAUGGCUUCAGAGGUGCCAGUCCAGAGUCCACUGAAUCCAUUGCUGUUAGACCUGUGGAAGUAUAGAAACAUGGCCAGAAAGGAUGGUAGAGGAAGGCUCUCACAAGAAAGCUGUUCACCUUUAACAGCCAGAAAAGAGACAUAGAGGAGGCUCCAGAGGCCCGGCCCACCCCACAGUUAUUUCUUUACUUUAGUGCACGAGUGUUCCAUUUGCUACGUUAAAGCUCACUAGCUAGCAACCAAGCCUGUGCUCUUCUUUAGUUUUACCAAUUUGACAGAAUCUGGAAUCAACUGGAGGACAGGUCCCCGAGCAUACUCAUGAGGAAUUACCCUGAUUGGGCUAAAUGAGAGGGAACGACCAGUCCACUGUGGGUGUCAUCAUUCCUUUGCAGGGAAUCCUGGCUUGUUAAAUUAAGGAAGAUUGCUGAACUCCAGCAUGCAUUCAUCACGCUCUGCUUUCUCAUCAUGCAUACGAUAUAUCCACCGCUUCAGACUUCUGCUGCUUUGUGUUUUCUGUCAUAAAGGACUAUACUCUUGAGCUCUUGAGCCAGAAUAAACCCUUUCUUCCUUGAACUGAUUUGUCAGACUAUUUUAUCACAGCAACAAGAAAAGAAACUUAAAGCCUCUAGCAAAUGAGGUCAGUGGGCAUUUAACAUUGAGACCCAUCGGACAUUCAGAUUUAUGCAUUCAUGUUAUUUGGUUUGGAGUCUUGAUGUUCAUUCAUAUUUAUAUUAUCGUUUGUCCAUGUUUCUCCCCUUGUGUUCUCCCACAUUUCCUCCUUUAUCUCUCCAGCCUUCUUCCUUCACCCAGAGCUGUAACUGAAGUUUUGUAUUUGUUUUUCUUCUCACAGGAUGACUUUUGCCUUGAUACUGCUUUGAUUGCUAUCUGGGAGACCUGUUUUUCUUUUUCUUUUCUUUUAAAAAUAGGGUCUCUCUGUAUUGUUGGCCGGCCUGGAAUGUACUUUGUAGACUUGGGUGGAUUCAACUCAGAGAUCUGCCCACCUCUACCUUCUAAGUGCUGGGAUUAAAGACAUGCAUCCCCACAGCACAUGAACCAUAAGCCUCAAUAAAUUCCAUUCAUGAGUAAAAGCAGACCUGUCUUAAAGAUUAUGCAAAUGUUGAGAUAAGGCUGGAGGAGGUGGGAGCCAGAAAUGGAAUAGUUUCCUUUGCCCUUGUAGUGCAGAGGAAUGGGAUAGUUUCAUGUGCCAUUGUAGUGCAGAGAAGCAAUUAAGGACUGAGAAUAUGUUCACAGCCACAGUGGCUAUUUGUAGGCAUACUAGCACUUUCCAACUUACUGUUUGUUUUGUUUUGUUUUUAAUAAAGAUAAUCAGAUUUUUUACCAGACUUUCCGGGAUGUUUUUUGAGGUGGAAGACAGUGCAGAUGUCUGCACUUCAUACUAUAAAUGAGAAUUUUCAGCCUUUGUACCAUUGGUCCCUUGGACCAGCUAUUUUGGUGGUGGUGGUGGCUAAAGGAGGAAGUAGUAGCAGGAGCCUAUGCUUUAUAGAAUACUAGCAACAUCUUUGGCUUUUAUCUACAAAGGCCACUAGCAGUACCUGCCUCCCACCAAAGACCCCCACAGUUGGAAGAACCAAAACUGUUUACAGACAUUACGGUAUAUCCCCUGGAGGACAGAAUUAAAAUUUUAACCUCAAAAGAACUGCUCUAGUUCUAAAUAUUUAAAUAUUACAAAUCAAGCUGUGUCCACAGCCUGUCCUGCUUUCAGACCAUUAGGAUGUUCAGCCAGCCUGUGACCUGAAAUGACUCCUUAACCCAGAGGCUUAGAUAGCUUCUAGGCCUGUUCUGGUCAGCAGUGAUCUACUUGAACUUGGCCCUAGAAUUGACUCUAAUCAGGUUACUUCAGGGACUGGGAAUGUAUAGCACCUCCCUUGCAGUAUAUCACUUUUUUCACCAGGAUUUAAGGAAUGUUUUAUGUAUCUCAGUAAACGGUCUGAAUAAUUGGGCAGAUGAGAGGAAGAAGCUAGUUUUCUGGGGGAAGUCAGUAAAAGCAAGGCCAGUGGAAGCCAAGUUCCUCUGGUUUUCUAGGGUAAUAAAAACAACAACAAUAAUAACAGCAAUAAUAAUAAGCUAUUAUUAUUGCUGUUGUUAUUAUUGCUAGUUGUCCCUUACCCUUUCACAUACAUAAAAGGAAAAAAAAGGUCCUUUGUGGUCUAGUAGGCAGAGCUAGGAGCUGUGUGUGUGAAAUGAAAUAUCAUGGUUGAACUCUGGCAUUGGAUGAUCUAGUCAUUUAGUAUUCUUCUAGUAGUGUGAUGGGCUAUAGUUGGCAAACCUCAUUCUCUACAGGAUAGCAUAUUUCUCUUUAGUGACUCUUUCUCUUUAUAUUCUAGAUAGUGCAAUUCUGGAUUUUAGUAAAGAUGGUACCAUUACUCCUGUAGUUUUAGAGCAUCUCCGUUACACCCUGAGUAUUCUUAUCUGAAUAGCUUUUUGAAUAGAGGCUCCACGAUAUGUGUUUGUGUGUGUGUGGGGGGGGUUUGGGUGUGGGUGUGUUUUAAUUAUCUUUUUUUUACAUACUCCAUUUUUGUAUGACAUUAAAGUUGCCUUUUCUGACUUUAGGCAGGAAAUGGUCAACCUGUUAUUCUAUGGAAGUAGGAAAAUUUUUUGUGGAUAUUAUUAUUAUUGAAAUAUUAUGUAUUAUAAUAUAUAGUAGAAGACAUGAAAAGGCCCAGUUGGCCACCAACUAUUUCAGGAAAGAUGGCCAAGAGGAUAGGAUAUCAACAUUUUAUCCAGGUUAAACAUAUUAUAUAUUUUGCUAAAUGAACCCUAUUGAGAAUCUAAUGGAUGUUCUGAUGAUUCUUCCUCAGAAAAAUGAAAAAUGUUACCCCAAAUUUCUAAAUAGUUUGAAAUGACUUACAGACACAGCAGAAUUUGUUAGAAAAA